rnacentral:tRNA from 1 species
GGGUGUUCGCGGAAAUGCAUGUUCCUUGCCUUCACACGGCAGGGGUCGCAGGUUCAAACCCUGCAUCACCCACCA